AUACUGCAUACACACAAAUUUUCAGUGGGAAAUUCUGAAGGCAGAGCCACUAGUAUCAAAGGUUAUGACACUGGUAAGGGUUGGGUAAUGACUGGCUUAGAGAAUGUCACAAUGCCAGCAGAGAAAGGGAAAACACAAAGACUAAGGAGUCUCAAGACCACAGGACAGUUCAGUAUCAACAUCAUCUUCAACAUAGCUGCCAUUUAUUAAGCACUUUACACACAUUACCUCUCAUCCUUACAGCAACUUAAAGGCAGGUACUACUAUCUGAAUUUACAGGAACAGCAGCUGAGGCUCUGAGGGCCUCAAUAACUUGCCCAAGACUACACAGAGAACUAUCGUUUGCUCCCUGACUACUGCUUUUCAAGUACUUGAUUGACCCUGUUGUGAAAAGCCCUGGUAACACAGGUGAUACUGAAAAUGUUGAUGACUCUUCACUAUGCUGUGUUCGAUUCCGCAUGGGAUAGCCUAACUUCUGUCAGCCCAAGGUCUUAAAGAAAUAAAACUAAUGACAAAGAAUA